rfam:Biomphalaria glabrata isolate BB02 unplaced genomic scaffold LGTN_random_Scaffold5657, whole genome shotgun sequence.
GUCAGGAUGGCCGAGUGGUCUAAGGCGCUGCGUUCAGGUCGCAGUCUACUCUUGUAGGCGUGGGUUCAAAUCCCACUUCUGACA